GCAAUUAAUCUAAUUAAUAUUCAUAGCUUUUAUAAACAUCCCUCUAAACAUCACUUACUGAUCUUUAAUGCGGUUUACAAGUGUUUGUUAUUGUUGCUGCUGCUGCUGCUGCUGCUGCUGCUGCUGCUGCUGCUGCUGCUGCUGCUGCUGCUGCUGCUGCUGCUGCUGCUGCUGCUGCUGCUGCUGCUGCUGCUGCUGCUGCUGCUGCUGCUGCUGCUGCUGCUGCUGCUGCC